rnacentral:lncRNA from 1 species
GGAAAGGCUGUAAGAGUGAAACAGUAUUUUAAACCACUGUUGAGAAAGAAAAAAUCAGUCCUGCUAUUGUUUUCAGAUCUCCUCAGAACGAAGGCCAGAAAGUAUGUGUUAAGAACACGCUCCCAAACCAAAGAGCUAGCCAAAGCACCAGCUCUGCAGCAGCUGGCCUCAGAGACAGCAGCAUCCAUGCAUUUGGAGCCCCAGUUGAAGGCUGUAGUGAGCUCAUGCAUCUGGGAUUAAUUCUACCUCUUCUACCGUCACAGCUUUCAGAUUUCCUCUGAGGACCCAGCGGCGUGAGCACAAGAACCAUGUGCUCCCAAGUGCAUGGGGAGCAGAGCUGGAGCUGGAGCUGCUGGAUCACAGCCUGCCUGAGUCCUAGAAAGAAGUGCUAAAGCAACACAACAAGUUAAAUGGCAUUUAUAAGGGCUCCUUCCUAGCUAAAUAAUAAACACCAACACCUGGAAAUACCUGUAUUCUUCAGUGUUCUGAGUGAGUGAUUACACAGAAUCUCGAGAGGUUAACGUGUAACAAACCAACUGAUAAAUGAAAAUGUUUGUCCAACAAACUGAAGGAAAAGCAAGAUGCAAGCAGAUGCCUCAAACCUGCAGG